CUCUCUCUCUGUUUAUCUUGGCGAUGUGCUGCCAAGGUUCUCCUGAAGCUGCACUUUGUGAAUCACCUCCGAGUUUAUUGAUCGCCGCCGAGAGGAGUAGCUGUGGUGUGUCCUGUCCCCGGAAUCGGCGCUGCUUUGACGCCACGAAAACGUCCGUGUUGGAAGCAGUGUGAGUUCCACUAGUAUUUGUGAGAGUAUUGUGUAAGAGGAGAUAUGGCGGGGUGGCGGUGGACGUGCCUCCCGCCUGGCUGGCUGGCUGGCUGCUGGCUGGCCCGCCCAUUCGUCCCUGCACUGGGCCGGAGUCUGCGUACUGACUACGUCACAGUUACGUCACUGUACGUGCGUGUGUACGUCCGCCGCUGAGUGAGCCAGACGCGGCGCUCAGUCUGAGAGAACCCGCCAGUCCGAACGCACGAGCAUGUCGCUGCCCGCACCCUAGCCUCACGCGGCUGCCACCCGGGAAUGUGCCAGGAGACUCAGGACAAGGAGUACCCACACGACUGCCAGUGCGUCCGCCCUCGCACGGGCCUCUCGCCACCCGCACAAUACAUUGUUCGCUCGUGAUACGUGAGUGGCUCAUCGGUGGUGAUUUUUGGUGAUUAGUGAAGCAGCAGCGACGAGAGCGUCAGCGUGCUCAGUGGUGUUCGAGUAGAGGUGAUCAAAGUGCAGUGAAUGUUGUCAGAGAGCCGAGGUAACAUGUCCUCCUUCAGAAGCCAGCGGCAGCACUGCUACCUGUGCGACCUGCCCCGCAUGCCGUGGGCCAUGCUGCACGACUUCUCGGAGCCCGUGUGCCGCGGCUGUGUGAACUACGAGGGCGCGGACCGGAUUGACCUGGUCAUCGAGGCCGCACGCCAGAUGAAGCGCGCCCAUGGCAUCAACGAAAACCGCCAGGGCCCGCCCUCCAAGCCUCACCCUCGCGUGCCCAUCGAGGCCCAGAACGGCGCCCACCAUGGUCCCAUCAAACUGGAGGCGGGCAUUAAGAUGGAACCCGGAUCUCACUCGCACGCCCACUCCCACGGCGGCCACCCGACACACACGGCCGCCCUGCCGCCCCCGGGCACCCCCGGCGUCGCCUUCGUGGCCGGAGACGUGCGGCAACGGGGCCCUCACAUGCUGGCCUUCCCUGCAGGGCUGCCCCACCGGGAUGACCCACACGCCCCUGCCCUUGUACGGCCGCCCGCCCACCUUCCCGCCCACCCGCUCCCACCUCCACACUCCCGCCCGCCAGCGCCCCCGGGGUCAUCCUCGGGGUCGGCGCCGCAGAAGAGGUCGUUCGAGCGCGACGAUGCCCAGAGUCCAAGCGAGGGCAGCGUGCCCAAGCGCCCCAUGCUGGAGGAGAGUCACAGGCCGCCCCUGACGCGGGGCGAGUCCCUGCCCGCGCCCCCCGUGGCAGCCAACUACAAGGACGCCGCGAAACACCACCCCGUCCGAGUGUGGUCCUUCGACGGCUCCUCGUCCAAGCCGCCCGCAGGCUAUCCUGGUCUACCAGUGAGCGCUGCUGCUGUGGUCGCGGCGCAGGCUGCCAGCAGUCAGAGCCAGCCGCAGGCGCAGGCGCAGGCCCCGAGCGGGACCCGCACCACCUCCCCCGAGGGCCCCAAUUCCUCCACCAACGGACAGUCCCCCAUGGCGGCCCUCCAGAGUGUGACGGACAACCUUCCCCCGGGGUCGCCACGCAGCCACGCCUCGGCCUCCCCCCAGCAGCGCUCUGCUUCCAGGAACUCCCAGCUGUCGCCAACCUCAGGUACUUUGCCGCACCUGCUCCGAUGCAUUGGUUCUGUUCGCACGUGUGUCCUCUCUGCUUCCACUUCUCCUUGGUUAUUUCUCUCACCUGCAGCAUCUGUAGAGAGAACCGAGGCGGAGAUCCUCGGGCGGGCGACACGGUGACUCCAGCGGGGACAGCAGCCCUGGGGCGCAGGGGAGCGGCGCCGGUAACGAGGGCUCGCAGCCGAGCAGCAACCUCAAGUGCACCAUCUGUACCGAGCGCCUGGAGGACACCCACUUCGUGCAGUGUCCCUCCGUCCUGCACCACAAGUUCUGCUUCCCCUGCUCCAGGGACUCCAUCAAGCGGCAGGGGGCCGGCACGGAGGUGUAUUGCCCGAGCGGCGACCGGUGUCCCCUGGCCGGGUCCUCGGUGCCCUGGGCCUUCAUGCAGGGCGAGAUAGCGACCAUCUUGGGGACGGCCAACAUCUUGCCCCAGCACUCGCAGGACGAGGCCAAGACCAAAAAGGAGCGCGAUACAUAAGGCUGUGUCGCAGCAUCUCUUCUGGUUUUAGUUGAAAGAAGGUCGCCGACGGUGCUCGUCUGCCGGUGACUUAUUGUCGACGCCGAUCGCAAGUUGCCGUGCUCGGCGUUGGUGGCGCUAUGUACUAGCGUGUCCAAAUGGUGCUGGAUGUGGUCCUUGCUCGAGACUCUGUCCGGUUAGCGGUGGGGGCCGCGGCCGAGGUCCUCCGCGCGGGCCUCGUGGCUCCACCACCAGCUGUGUCGGGCCGCCGGAUCGGGACGCGGCCCGGGUCUGUGGGGCAGAGUCAGCUAGUCCAGGGAGAUCUUCAUAGUGACUGUUAGCCAAUAUGCGGACUUUCAGUGUGUCAUUGAGGCGGCCGUUGUCUGCGCCAGCUCUCACCUGCCCGUCUUUAAAUCGCUGAAGGAACAACUGUGACCAGACUCUGCGACACCUCAAGUGAACCACAUCAUCACUUUAAUUAUUAGUCGAUUUGUUGCAGGUGAAGUUUUUACCGACACGUGCAAUUUUUGUUCAUAAGACGUCCUGGGGAACUCAGAAUGUGAUGACGGCUUUUUGUCUCGACCGACCCUCGAAGAAGACAGAAGAGAGCGGUUGGAGGGCUGGAGGCCGGUCUUGUGCCCAGGACCCAUUGUCUUCAGGAGUGUGUGUGUGCUUGUGUGUGUGUGUGAAGGGGAACACAUGACGUCCGUGGCCUGACCUUUGUGGAUACGCCCCAGAGGGGUCGUCUGGCCUCAAGAUUUAUUAGAAUAAAAAACAAUAAAAAGAAGAGAAGGCGAAGGCCGUCUUGAGAUCGAGCUUCGCCUUCGGGUCUCGGGCGGCGGAAGGCGACGCCGACGGGGUGUCUCUGCGAGCACCCCAGGCGCCGCCGCGUUCCCGAGUCCACAGGUCUUGUACUGGAUUCUUCGAGUUUUUAAUCUUCGGGGUUUGAGCAGAAAUGUUUGUAAUCUGUUUAGGCUGUACAUAUACGUUACCCUGUUAUGUACACGCAACACACUGUACUUCUCACGCUGCGACACCGUGUGGACGUUCGCGAUUACCAAAGGCUUAACUUGUAUAUUAAUUGAUAUGGAUAUAUUACUUUAGUGUAACGUGAUAACACACUUAGCCUACUAGUCAUUUAUGAUACUGGGUAAUUUUGGUACAGUAUCACGAUUUGGAACUCCGUACUCGCUUUUGUAGGUUUAUUAAUGUUCCAAAUAUUCUCUUCCGGCAUGUGGCAACCUUCCCGCCAUACUAACACCGGCAUAAGUUUAAGCGAAAUAAAAUGGAAAAAAAUUCAACUUUUUUCGGAUUAACAUGCAGAUUAACUUCCUUCUCAUACGCGAUGAUUCGAGAAAUGAUUUAAAGAGAAAAAAAAAGUUUAGUAAAAAAUCAGCAGCACAUGAUUGUAAAACUUGUUUUCGUUAUUUUGGUUUUUUUUUUUUUUUUUUUUUUUGCAAUACGUGCAGUAUUUUUGGAAACCGUUUCUUUGAGACUAGAAGUAGCGAUGCGACUUUGUGUCCUCGAUACCGUUGGGCGUGAGAAGGAGGGGAGGCCGGAAGGAGGGGAUAGGGAGGGAGGGAGGGAGGAGUAAAGGGAGAAGGGGCACCCGCUUCCGGUGCGAUGGUGGCGCCGGGGAGGGAGAAAGGGGGGGGGGGAGAGGGAAACAAGAGAGCCAGCCGCCUUCCUCUCUUCUCUCACGCUUUCCUUUCGGACGCGUUUCGUCUUACAAGAGAAACACUUUUAGCUAAGCUUUGGAACAGUCAUUCACACUGGAAAGUCAAACGAAAAAGAAAAUCAUUUUUAAAGAAGCGCUUGUUUGAAUAUGCAAAGGCUUCAAAAUUCCCUUCCAACUAGUCCUGUAUAGUGUUUCGUAUUUUUUGGUGUUCAGAUCCCGCGGAGGGACUGAUGUGUCUGACUGUCGCUCAUUUGCAAUCCCUCGAGGUUUUUUAAAUUUCGUUUUUCUUUUUUUCUCUCAUUUCGUGCGUGCGAUCGGUGAGUAGCGCCUGAUUAGCCGAGCUAGUAGCCCUGAGGUGGCGUGGGUGCGCGCGCGAACACAGGCGCGUGUAGUCCCGAGCGCGAGAUCCCGCCCGCAGGUUCGAGUGCCCCGCCCGACGUCCGCCCCCACCCCCCGCGGGCACAGGGUCUGGGAGGGGGAGAGCUGCUGCCGUGGGGAGGAGGAAGGUGGGGGGUGGGGGGUUGCCGCUGGACCGGUGAUGACUGAAAGGACCUCAUCGUCUGCAGUUUAUGUUUCUCUCUCUCUCUCACUCUCGCCUCUUUCGUGGGAUGAGUUGCUAGUUUCUUUCCCCACUUAGCUUCCAGUUUAGGGGGAUUCCGAAAGGGUUAGGACUUUCCCUCUUUUGGGGGAGCUUUUUCACCCUACUUUGAAAGACGGAGCAAUACUGUGGGUUUCUGUACGUGCUCAUGUAAAUAACACGAAAAUGACCAGCGACGAUAUUGAAUCUUGGGUUCUUGUGUAGUAAUCCCGGUGACGUAUGGAUAGAAAACGCACCCACGUCUAAACUGUUGUAUAGAUUGAAAAAGAAAUAAUGAAAACCAAGAAAGCACAGCGAAGAAAAUUAGAAAGAUUCACGCCCAUCUUGCGAAAGUUUUGUGAAAGCAUUUUGAUAAUUCGUUGCUAUGUUUACCGUCCAGGGAGCAGCACUCCUUCUCGCCCCAGACCCACUGAACGUCCAUCAACCUCUUUUGUCUGAUCAUUCCCAUAAUAGUGUGUGGUGAAGAGAACCCCCCGCCCCCUGAAAUUAGUUACGAAACAGUAAUAAUGACAAAACCUUUUUUUGGAAACACUGCUGGAUCAGUGUCCUAUAGGCUACUGUCUGUCAUGUCCACAACACUGCUUUGCAAAUCGUCUCGAGCCCGUGAUUUUUAGCCGUUUUCGUCCGUGCCCGACGCAAUAACGUAAUUCAGAUACUUCGUGUAAUUAGUUUGUUUUUCCGUGAAGUGGAAAAGCUCUACGUGUCAUGAACUGUUUUCUUGUCUGACUGACCCCUCCCCCCUUCUCCCUUCCCUCUCCUUCCCUUUGCCUGUACUUGUUCUCUGUUCGGAGCUUUUUACCCCCCAAAUAAUUCAGUUCACCCCCCCCCCCCUUUCCCCCUUCCAACCCAGUUUAUCCAGCUUUUCAAUGUCAUAUGAUGCCCAGGAUGCGGUAGCCAUGCGCGAGAGCGGGGAGGCCAAUUUCAAAUUGUUGAUUUAUCUGUGUAUCAAUUGGGUAUUAACCCCCCCCCCCUCCGUCUCAUAUUUAGGUCGGUGCCCCCGACAGCAUGGCUACCGAAGGAUCCUCUUUACUUCUUUUUUUCUCUUUUUCUUUGUUCUAUUAGUUGCCCUACGGCAUUUUGUUGUAAGUAUUAAUGCUACUGGUGUUACUACUUUAAACUCUUUCAAAGGUACAAAUGACGUAGCUCUUGACCUAUUUUUGUAGAAGGGCUUUGUAAAAAAUAAUGGUGUCGAAGGGGUUUUAGAAAAAGAAGAUACUUCUCAGUUCCCCUUGCAACAUAUAUAUAAAAAUGUCCAUUAUGUGUUGAAACGGCGCAAAAUGCCCUGCUUUGUUUAUGAGUUGGCGUCCAGUGAAGAGAAGAUUCUCGUCGGGAGGCGAUGUCUCUCACAGUGCUGAUUGAACGUUUCGUUAGUCUCCGCCUCCUUGGUUCACGACGAAGCAUCGAGAAGAAAUAGAAGACAAAAACAAAACAAAACU